AUUGAACGCUGGCGGCAGGCCUAACACAUGCAAGUCGAACGAGCGGCGGACGGGUGAGUAAUGUCUGGGAAACUGCUCGAUGGAGGGGGCUAACUACUGGAAACGGUAGCUAAUACCGCAUACCAUCGGAUGUGCCCAGAUGGGAUUAGCUAGUAGGUGGGGGAACGGCUCACCUAGGCGACGAUCCCUAGCUGGUAUGAGAGGAUGACCAGCCACACUGGAACUGAGAAACGGUCCAGACUCAUACGGGAGGCAGCAGUGGGGAAUAGUGAGAAAUGGGGGAAAGCCUGAUGCAGCCAUGCCGCGUGUAUGAAGAAGGCCUUCGGGUUGUAAAGUACUUUCAGCGAAGAGGCGUUACUCGCAGAAGAAGCACCGGCUAACUCCGUGCCAGCAGCCGCGGUAAUAC
rnacentral:rRNA from 1 species